rnacentral:RNase_P_RNA from 1 species
CCUGCAAGCCGCUUUAUCGCUCCGAUUGAUUUCGGAGAGGAAAGUCCGGGCAACGCAGAGCACCGUACUUCCUAACAGGAAGAGUCUCACGAAAGUGAGAUAUAGAUAGUGCCACAGAAAACAAACUACCCAUUGCGACUCGUUCGCGGAGGGAAAAGGUGAAAAGGUGGGGUAAGAGCCCACCGGGCAAGUGGUGACACUUGUUGCAUGGCAAACCUUACGGGUUGAAAGGCCAAAUAGGUCCUGACGCAAGAUUGCUCGUCUUCACCUGCAGCAAUGCAGGUGGUCAGGAUUGGGUAGGCUGCUUGAUGCUGAUGGCAACAUCAGCACCAGAUAAAUGAUAGAGCUUGCUGAUGGCAACAUCGGCAUGACAGAACCCGGCUUACAGGCUUGCACUUUUA